CAGAGGUGGAAGGCUGAAGGGAGGGCAGCCACCCCGGAGCAGCCCAAGUGCUCCCGAGUCCUUGCCACCUGCCCUCUUCCCACAGGGCAGGUCCCAGCAGAGACCCCAGGCCGGCUCCCAGAGUCUGCAAGUGGAAGACUUCUUUGCAGGAGGUGGGCUCAGAGCUGGCCAAGAUGCGGACUGAGCUCGAGAAGGUCUGCAAUGUGCUGGAAGCU